AGAGUUUGAUCUUGGCUCAGAACGAACGCUGGCGGCAGGCCUAACACAUGCAAGUCGUACGAGAAGGUUCUUUCGGGAACUGGAGAGUGGCGCACGGGUGAGUAACGCGUGGGGACCUACCUCUUAGUGGGGGAUAACGGUUGGAAACGACCGCUAAUACCGCAUACGCCCUUCGGGGGAAAGAUUUAUCGCUAAGAGAUGGACCCGCGUUGGAUUAGAUAGUUGGUGAGGUAAUGGCUCACCAAGUCGGCGAUCCAUAGCUGGUUUGAGAGGAUGAUCAGCCACACUGGGACUGAGACACGGCCCAGACUCCUACGGGAGGCAGCAGUGGGGAAUAUUGGACAAUGGGGGCAACCCUGAUCCAGCCAUGCCGCGUGAGUGAAGAAGGCCUUCGGGUUGUAAAGCUCUUUCAGAUGCGAAGAUGAUGACGGUAACAUCAGAAGAAGCCCCGGCUAAUUUCGUGCCAGCAGCCGCGGUAAUACGAAAGGGGCAAGCGUUGUUCGGAUUUACUGGGCGUAAAGGGCACGCAGGCGGUCUUGCCAGUCAGGGGUGAAAGCCCGGGGCUCAACCCCGGAACUGCCUCUGAUACUGCAAGACUAGAGACUAGGAGAGGGUGGUGGAAUUCCCAGUGUAGAGGUGAAAUUCGUAGAUAUUGGGAGGAACACCAGA
rnacentral:rRNA from 1 species